AAAAUUAAGUUUCUAAAUUUUUAUUUUUUUCGUCAAAAAUACUGAUACUUAAUAUUUAUAAAAAAAAAAUUUAUUUACAGCGAAGUGCGGAUUCUACACUAAUAAUAAUAAUUUGAUGGAACUAAAACAAUAUCCGUGAGAGUUCUUUUUUUGGGUAAACUUCAAAUAUCACCCCUGUGGUUUCGCACUUUUUCACUUUAGUGUCCUGUGGUUUAAAUUGUAUCAAAAUAGUAUUCCAUGGUUUUAUUUUUAUCUUUUCAUUAGCUUCCCCGUUAAUAUUUCGUUAAAUUAUAUACAAAAAACUUCAAAUACCCCACCUAAGUUUGUCGAAUAUUCAUUUUAGUACCCUUUAGUUUUAACAUUGUCACUGAUUUAACGAAAAAAAUUUGUGGAAUGUAUAGUAAAAAAAUAAAAAUGAAACCACAGGGCACUAAAUUGAUACAUUUUAAACCAUAGAGUAUUAAAGUGAGAAAAUAUGAAACUAUAGCGAUGGUAUUUGAAUUUUUUUUUCUUUGAAUUUUGCCAGAUAGCGAUCAUUGUGCACAAAGUGCGGUGCCAGAAACAAAGAUUUGCAAGUUGUAACAUGAUGACAAUAAAAUUAAAUGAAAAGAGUGACCAUGUGAAAAUUAAAAUGCUUUGGGUCCACUAUGUAUAUUUAUGUACUAAUUAAAAAGCAUUGACACACAUACCCCACAAUGACUUCCCCAAUAAUGUUCACUAGUGUAGCAAUCCCUGCGAAACAGACGGAUAGAUAAUUGAAGAAAAAAUACAAAACGACGAUAAAAAAAAAGAAAAUGGUAAUAGAAAAAGCGACGGUGAGGGAUGAGAUUCAUCUUGCCGAUAAAGAAUGGUAACAGGCGAAGAAACCGGAAGGGUAGUAGUUCGGCCCAAUGCAGAGGUAUGACUCUGUUCAGUUCAAGCAAAAAAAGAAAAAAAUCCGGUUCGAUUCGAGUAAAGAAAGAGAAAAAUAUAUGGAGAAGUUAAGUCGGUUCGGAAGAGCCUACACUCAAUAAUGAUUUGUCUGGUUUACGUAAAGAAAGAAAAAAAUAUGUGAAAUACUUGAGCCAAUCCGAGGUGAAUUAAGAUACACCCAACAAUGAAAAAAAUAUUACCACAUGACAACUAUAGGAAGAAUAAUGUAUAGGUAUAGACUUUAGCUGAUUCGGAAAGCCUACACUCAACAAUGAUUUGUUCGAUUAAAGCAAAAAAUAAAGGACUAGUUCUGCUCAAGCCAAAAAAGAGAAAACUAUAUAAAAAAUUUGAGCCGAUUCGGAAUGUAGCUCAUACUCAAUAAUAAAAAAAAGUUGACAUGUGACAAAUUUAAAAAGAAUAAUGUACAGAAUAUAGAGGUAUAGAUGUGUUGCACAUGUUAUAGUUAAGCCUUAUAUUCUUUACAUAUGAAUUUCAAUGCAUCAAUAAUAUAGUAGAACACACUUUAUGCAAAGGUCCAAAGUAUUUUUCUUAAUUAAAAAUUUUUAUAUUAUAUAUGUCAAUAUAUUAAUAGCCUACACGAACAGCAUCUUAAAAGACAAAAUAGUUCGCAUGAAGGGAACAAAAUAAAUAUAUAGGGGGACCAGAACCUUCCAUUGGUGACAUUUCAUCUACAUGUAUAUGUAAGCUUUUAGAGGCACGGUGACUUCAAUGCUAUCAAGUUAUUUUCAAUGUUAAAAAUUUUUUCAAAUCGAUGAUAGCUAGAUACUGUUAGAUUUGAUAUAAAGAUUUAGAAGUAUUUAACAAAUACAGUUUGUAAUUUUUUGGUAUUAUUUUUACAGUGAUAAAAAAUAUUCAAAAUCAAUGGUUGAAAAAAAAAAAAAAAAUCUUACAAGAAGAGAUAAUAUGACGCUACAAUUUUAGAUAAAAAAUAUUCAUCUUAUUCAAACAUGAAGCCUACCUCUGUAAGAGGUGCGUAGGAAAUAGAGUAUCCAUCGCAAUUUGUACGACAAACAUUGUAGAGUGCGGAAUCAGUUAAAUUAUCUUUCAAUACAGGCAUAAGCGAAAAUUCAAAUUACUGUAGUUGGCUAAUUAAAUAUUGCUCAACUCUGGAAUAAGGUUUGUUAGAUCCACAUAAGACGAGCCUCCUGGCUCCAUUGCCUUCUUCGCGGUCUCUCCUAGCUUUGUCACGCGCCUCCGCAUCUCCACCGCCUUCUCUCCUCUGCCUAUCGCCUUCCUUAUUGCAUUCUCAGUUUGCGCACUCUCUAUUACAGGCAUUUCUGCGGCAAAAUAGGUGAACUUCAUUGACCCGAUCGAUACGCCAAUCCCGAGCACAUCGACGAUGAGCCUCUCAUUGAAAAAUUACUCGGUGUAGAGCGGCCAUGUGACCAUCAGCACGCCAGCGCAAAUCCCUUCCAGACACGAGUUCCAGCCGCAGUGCGUGACGAACCCCCCGACCGAUGCGUGACUCAGUAUCAGUGUCCGUGGAGCCCAGCCGUUCAGUACCAGGCCCCUGUCCUUUACUCGUUCCUUCAAUUCAUGUGGCAGCCAUUUUGCGUCGUAGUCAUCAUCAAGAGUUCAUGACAACCCAAAUAAAAGGACAGCCGGACGCUUUGAGGCCGAAUGCAAGCUGGGCCAUUUGGGCCGACUGAAGUCGGCCCAUGCUCCCGAAGCUCACAUCGAGAACCGAAUCGGGCCGGUUUCGAUUGAGCCAUUCUGAUAUAUAAGAACUGGACCUAGUUGGUUCGGGCGCUUGUGGUUCUCAUUCUCGUUCUCGUUCUCGUUCUCGUUCUCGUUCUUGUGCUUCUUCAUCUUGCCUUUCUUUCGGACGGACUCCGUCUCGAUUGAAGAGAACGACGGGGCCCACGUGCCAUGCGCAGCGCCCCAUUGCCUCUCGAAAGUGGCGGACGUAGUCGGGCUCGAACUCGCAGAAGCUAUUCACCACCACGCCGUAGCUCCGCCCCUCCGUCGCCGCAAUCUCGCCGAACAUUUCGCGGAAUGCAGGGGUCGCCACACUGAAGUCCUUCAUUUGGGAGCGGAGCAUCUCCACGGGGUGCGGAAGGCCACUGAGGACGACGACGGCGUCGCCACCGCCGAGGGGCAAUGAAGUCCUACAUAUAUUCAACGUACACUAAAUUCAUAUGUUAAAAUAAAAUAAGAAUCAAACAACAGAAUAUAUAGCAAAAUACAACUCUCUAAAUUAGUGAAUACAAAAUAAACACUUGAUACAAAAUCUAGCUGGUCAUUGAUCAGAAUCCUUUUAUUAUUUGAUUUAAAUCAAAGUUAAAUAUAUCUAAAUGUAAAAUAAAAUAAAAAAAAACUCAUAACAGUAUUUUAAUAUUUUAUUUUUAUUAUAUAUAUAGAAAAUUUAGCUGGAAUGCUAUUAGUAGCAAACAAGUUCUAUUGCCACCCAUUUAUUUUGACGAUGAAGCCUCCAAAUCGAAGAUUUAUACCGUUAAACAUGAUAUAUACCACUUAAAGUAUCUACUUUUUCAAUAUUAUCCUCUUGUUCAUUAAGUGAACAAAAAAAUAAAUGAUUGAAAAUAAAUAUUCUUUAAAAAAUGAUGAUAGAAAUCUUUGUAAUCAAUAUAAAGAGUACAGAUCUCGUUUUAAAUAGUAUUAUUGGCUUCGGCCCAGGUCGAAGUCAAUUACGAAAAUAAAAUAAAAUAUUAAUCUAUCUUUUACACUUUAGUUUUUACGUCUUUCAUUUUUAUCAAAAUAAAUAAUAGAAUUUGAUAAAUUUCAGUUCCACAUAUAAGACAUAUAAGCUAUCAAAUUCCCCGUUUCUUUUGCUUUGGAAGUCGUGUAUUUGGACCAGGUACGUUUAUAGUUGGUUCUUUGGUCCAUUAAUCCAUGGGCCCGCCCAUUUACGGUCCGGUUCGAAUCCGAUCCAAUCGAACCGUUCCCUACCGAUCCAACGGCUCACGUAUCAUCCGUACAUAUCCCCGCCGAUUCGCACCGAAACCCUAAUCUCCGCCUAUAAAUACUCGCCUUCUAGGGUUUUACUCCUCUCGAUCUCGUCCCUCUCGCACACCGUCGCCACUUGAGCGCGUCCUCUGCGGCCAUGGUACGAAGCCCACCUCCUCUCGAUCUCUUCCUCUUCUUCGUCUUCGUGGAUCCCUACUCUUUCGAUCUCUUCUUCUUCUUCUUCUUCUUCUUCGUAGCUUUUGAUGGGUUCCCUGCUCAAUGUAGGCGUCGGAGAAGAAGCUAUCGAACCCCAUGAGGGAGAUCAAGGUGCAGAAGCUCGUGCUCAACAUCUCCGUCGGAGAGAGCGGCGAUCGCCUCACCCGUGCGUCAAAGGUCGCGCCUUUUCUCUCGACACUUUCGUAGUUUCGUAGAACCUGUAUCCAGUGCAUUGUUUAGCUCACGAUUUGGUAGUUAUUAAACUCGUUUAGUGAUUUUUGGGGUGAUCGCUCACUUUGCUUUGAGUAAUUGAUUGAAAUGGUGAUACCUUGGUAAAACUAGAUCUGUUUCUGGUUACUGGAGUUAGUGUUGCUGAACUUUAGGAUUUCAUAGGGAUUCUGCGUUAGGGAGCUAAAAAAGUGAUCUUUCUUAAGUUCUUUUGCCAUGCAAACUCAGAAGUAUUUAUAUUUGUAACUUGACCAAAUAAUGAUUAGUUUCAGUAUUUUUGUAGGCAUAUUUGAUUUUAGGGUAUGUUGAGGGAAUGAAACAGUGUAUGAACUUUUGGGUUUCAAAUGGAGAAGUAAUAUGCCUCUUUUAUUGCCAUUCCCUUGACAUGAGUUUGCAACAUGGUAUAGUGUAAAGCCAUGGACAUCACCUAGAUAGCUUGUUUGAUAUCAUUUCACCUAUAUUCAUCAGGCUUUUGUUUUUGUCCUUUUUUUCAAUUGUUGGUUAAUAACUUGUCAAUUGGCGUAUGUUUAGGUAAUGUCAAGUUGUGCUUAUCCAUAUUUGUUAGCCUUUGAAAUUGUUGGUUACCUGCCAUCCCUUUUAGAGGCUUCCUUAAUUUUUAGUUUGACGUAAUUGCUUUGAGUUGGCAUUCUCGAAAAUUUAAUUGUAGCUCUUGCUUAUGCACGGCGAAAUAUUCUUGCCUUUGCCAGUGAGUCAAGAAGAGUAAGAGGUAUUUCAAAGCAUUUUUACACCAUUUUAAAGAAAGCUCAAUCCUAACUCAAUUGGUUGGGAUCACGCAGCAUGAAUGAGUCGAAUUUGUACACCAUUUCAUUAUCUGCACCCUGUUGGAUAAAGUCUUUGAGUAAUUAUUAACAAUUUAAUUAACAAUUUAAUUGAUGAUGAAUUGGCUGACGAUAUGAGGUCUGCAGAAAUCUUGAGCCACAGUUGUCAAAAAGAUUGGUGUAAAGGCACUUUCUGGACCAUUGUUGUAAUCCCAUUUGUUGGUUAUUUGAUAUGGAUGGUUGACUGACAAAGUUUACACGGCCAUAUGUCGCAUAGUUUUUUUUUUUUCUCCUGUCAGCAUUGUUAUUUCCAAAUAAGAUACGUUCCAAUUGUAUGUGCAAUGUGUAGUUUUGCCAUGUUAUCAUGACCUUUCGGCAUACUCUUAUUUUGUUUUUUACCCUGCCAAUAUUUUGCAGGUGUUGGAGCAAUUGAGCGGACAAACUCCUGUGUUUUCAAAAGGUCAUUUUGUGAAAAUUGUACAACUGUGUUCUCCUCUAUAUCUAGAAUGAUGCUGAAACCUCUUUCUUCCUUAAAAUUUCAACAGCCAGGUACACAGUUCGGUCUUUUGGUAUCCGGCGUAACGAAAAAAUUGCUUGCUAUGUCACGGUUCGUGGUGAGAAGGCCAUGCAACUUCUCGAGAGUGGCUUGAAAGUGAAAGAGUAUGAAUUGCUGAGGAGAAACUUCAGUGAUACCGGGUGUUUCGGCUUUGGUAUUCAGGAGCAUAUCGACCUUGGGAUUAAGUAAGAUGCUUAUUCAUCCAGUUGCAUUGUUAUAAUCCUAUAAUUGUUUGUAUAGGACAUAACUGAUCUUUUCCCUUUUCAUGUGUUUCCUUGUUUAACUUAACAGUUACCAAUAUUGAUAUAGAUAUACUGCCAGUAUUGUUGCAUGUUAAUUUUAAAUCUUUACAUAUUAUUUCGGUUUAUAUUUUUGUUUUGAUGAUUCAUGAUUAGAGCUGUAGUAGGGUCUGCUGUGAUGAGUACUGCUUUCUUCUGACACCUCUUGUAUGAGAAGGCUUCUUAAAGAAGCCCUUCGCUGAGCAGAGUAGCAACUCUCUGAGCUCCCUUUUGGUUGACAAAAUCCUUUUGCAUCAGUUGUUUAUGAUGUUACUGUGUAAUGAAUUUACCAGGCAUGUCUUGUUCUAAGAAACUGCCUAGUCCAUUAGCUUAAUAAAGUCAUUGACACUUACCAUAUAUUUUUGUUAUGGUCUAUUUAUAAUUCUAGUUCUUAUAUAUUUUCUGUCAAUUAGGUGGUGUUUGGUUUUGGAAAAAUAUUCCAGAGAACAGUUUUUUGGCGGGGAAAGUAUUUUCCAUAAGUUUGGUUCCUAGGAAAAGUAGUUUUCGGGGCAAAGUUUUUUUUCAGAUUUCAUGUAAUAUUAGUAUUUUUGUUUUCCUAAUUUUUUAUCCGAAGAACGGCAAUUGUAAAAAAGAGACUUUUCCAUGGAAAACAUUUUCCUGGAAAACAAUUUUCCACGUUUUUCUGAGAAACCCAACCCCCCCUUAGCUCUUGAUGUUUGUCAUGGAUAACAAUUAUACCCUUCCAUUGGUGUACUAUCUCCGAAAACAGCCAUGUUAUCCAUCAUUGUUAGAAUUCGCCUACACUGAGGAUUCAAAAUUUAACAAUGAUGUUGAUGUAUGCUAGUCGACGAAGACUAGUAAAUUGAUUAAAUGAUUACAAUUGAAGAGGAUUUUGAAAGCUACAUCGUGAAAAUUUAGUCUAUGGGGACCGACUUUGUUAUUAGCUUCUUUUCUUAAUUUAGUUGAAGCAAUCCUAUUGUUGCAAGAAGCUGACAGUCAUUUUCGUUCAGGUACGAUCCGUCUACUGGCAUAUACGGGAUGGACUUUUAUGUCGUCUUAGAACGCCCCGGAUACAGAGUGGGCCGCCGCCGCCGCUGCAAGUCCGGUGUCGGGAUCCAGCACAGGGUCACGAAGGAUGACGCGAUGAAGUGGUUCCAGGUGAAGUACGAGGGCGUGAUCCUCAACAAGUCCCAAGCAAUAGCCUCGUAGGUGCGUUCGGACAUGCCAUAUCACCUCAUCCGAAGGUAGCUCAGUUUCUUUCAGUCAAAUUCCGACUGCUGGAAAACGAGUGCUUUUUAGGUGAUUCUUUUUUUUUUUUUUUUUUUCUUUUCCUGUGUUUUAGAAAUGACUUGAAUUUUCAUGUGCUUCUCUUCGAAGAGCCGAGUUGCCUUUUCUUCUGCUUUCGGUAGUAAUUGGAGUACUGCGAUUUUGUUAAAAUGAAAAAUUCAUCUCAUUCCUUUCUCGCCUUUACGAUCUUGACGCCGAUUGUUGUGCUAUAUUAACUCGAAGUUCCUUGAUAUUAUCCUUCACAGUGAUGGUCUAAGGUUCGAUUUUAUUUGCCUCUACUAAAGUUUACCAUCUUAUGUUUUGGCAAAUCAUGCUUUUUGAAAAAGUAGAAGAGAAAAUAGUAGUAGGACUUUUCUUGUUAUUACUGUUGUGGAAGUGUUCUGUGUAUAUGCAUAGAAAAUCAACCUAGAAGUGAACCUGCUGUGUCAUUGUUAGGUUUAGGCAUAUUUAGUUUUGUGUGUGUGUGUAAAACCACUUUUCCCUUUUAAUAUUUUCUGGUGGAUAUUUCUCUUGUGGAAUUGUUUGUGCAACACUGCAACUUAAUAUAAGGUUAUUGCAUUAUUAUUAUUAUUAUUAUUAUUAUCAUAUCACUCCUUACUAUUGAGUUUGGGGGAAAAUUAAUUUUCUUGCGUUAUAUUUUUCUAUUGUCGUGGAAUUGAAAUUUUCUCAGUUUUGCACUUUUGUUUCACAAAAAGUGAAUGCCAUAAGCACUAGAGAUGUUGGAGGGGUUAAUAUUAUGUUAAUUUUUUUUCUUUUCUUUUUUUUUGGUAAUUGGCUUUUGUUUGGAAUGGAUCAAAGUCAAUUAUGGUGUUUUAGGGAGUUUAAAUUUCGAUCGAAAAUGAAGUUACGGUGAACUACACAACAGAAGUGGGCAUUUACAGUUGAAAGUUUGCGGUAACUUCAUUUUCGGUCCAAAAUUAAACUCUCCAAUCUAUUAUAUAGGGUAAUUAAUUUCGGCCCAAUUAAUUAUGAAAUGAAAGGCUAGAAAAAAAGUUAAUGAAAUAUUAAUUUAUUUUUUAUAAUUUUAGUUUUUAUGUUAUUUAAUUUUUUAUUAAAUAAUAGUAAAAUUAGAUAAAUCUUUAAUUUUAUACCUAUAUAAAUAAAUAAUGAAAAAAAAAAUUUAUUUUAAUUAUUUGAAUUAUUUGAAAGUCUAUUUCGUUUUGAACCUGUUCUUAUUCAAUGAAAUAAAUACUGCAUCACGAAAGAAAUUAUAUUUUAAAAUUGCGCUCAUGUUUAGCUACAGCUGAAGCACGUGCUUUAAACUUUUUCAUAGCUAGUGAUAGUGUUAACACUAUAAUUUAAAAAAAAAAAAAAACUUCAAAUACCACCUCUGUAGUUUCGUAUUUUUUUACUUUAGCAUUCUGUGAUUUAAAGUGAGGUUUCGCACUAUCUCAUUUUAGUACCUUGUGGUUAAGAAUGCAUUUCGUACUUUCUCAUUUUAGUAUCUUGUGGUUUAAAAUGCAUCAAUUUAGUACCAUGUGGUUUCAUUUUUCUGUUUUUAUCAGUUUCUUUGUUAAUAUUUUAUUAAAUUAUAUACAAAAAACUUCAGAUAUUUUAUUUAGGUUUAUUGAAUAUUUACUUUAUUAUCCUUUAUUUUUAACUUUGUAUUGAUUUUUUUUCCUCCGUUAAUAUUUUGUUAAAUUAUGUACAAAAAACUUCAAAUACCUUACUUAGAUUUAUCGAAUAUUCACUUUAGUACCCUUUAAUUUUAAUUCUGUCAUUGAUUUAACGAAACAAAAAGUUAAAUGAAUAAUAAAAAGAGAAAAACGAAACCAUAUGGUACUAACUUGAUACAAUUUCAACCAUAGGGUACUGAAAUAAGAAAGUGCGAAACCACAGGGGCAAACUUGAUACAUUUGAAGUUUACCCUAAAAAAAAAUAUACAUGUUUUCAUUCUAAUUUUAUUUUAUCGUAAUACCAAAUUACUCCUUAAUUAACUUCAAAAUAAAAAUGCUUUUACAGAUAGCUUCUAUCUAAAUAACAUUU
rnacentral:lncRNA from 1 species